GUGAAGCAUCCUGUUAAGUCAGGCAACGAGCGAGACCCACGCCCACAGUUGCCAGCGUACUCUCCGGAGUGACGGGUACACUGUGGGGACCGCCGCUGCUAAAGCGGAGGAAGGAAUGGGCAACGGUAGGUCAGUAUGCCCCGAAUAUCCCGGGCUACACGCGAGCUACAAUGGUUGGUACAAUGGGUAUCUACCCCGAAAGGGGACGGGAAAUCUCCUAAAACCAAUCUUAGUUCGGAUUGAGGGCUGCAACUCGCCCUCAUGAAGCUGGAAUCCGUAGUAAUCGCGUUUCAACAGAACGCGGUGAAUACGUCCCUGCUCCUU
rnacentral:rRNA from 1 species